UACGGGGGGGGCAAGCGUUGUUCGGAAUUACUGGGGCGUAAAGGGCUCGUAGGCGGCCAACUAAGUCGGACGUGAAAUCCCCAGGCUCAACCUGGGAACUGCAUCCGAUACUGGAUGGCUUGAAUUCGGGAGAGGGAUGCAGAAUUCCAGGUGUAGCGGUGAAAUGCGUAGAUAUCUGGAGGAAUACCGGUGGCGAAGGCGGCAUCCUGGACCGACAUUGACGCUGAGGAGCGAAAGCCAGGGGAGCAAACGGG
rnacentral:rRNA from 1 species